CAGGGGGAGAGACAAGAGGAGAGACAAAAGAGAGAGAAGAGAUGAGAGAGAGAGAGAGAGAGAGAGAGAGAGAGAGAGGAGAGACUAGAGAGAGAGGAGAGACAAGAGGAGAGACAAAAGAGAGAGAAGAGAUGAGAGAAGAGAGAGAGAGAGGAGGAGAGACUAGCGAGAGAGAGGGAAGAAGAGAGACAAGAGAGUGGGAGAGGAGGAGAGAAGAGAGAGAGAGGGAAGAAGAGAGACAAGAGAGUGGGAGAGGAGGAGAGAAGAUAGAGAGAGGGAAGAUGAGAGACAAGGUAGAGAGUGCUUACAACAGAGAGCAGGCAGAAGUCGAUCCUGGUUUGACAGGUCUAGUGAUGGCUGGGUAGAGCUAGCUUAGUGAGGGCUGGGUACAGCUAGCUUAGUGAUGGCUGUGUAGAGCUAGCUUAGUGAGGGCUGGGUACAGCUAGCUUAUGAGGGCUGGAUAGAGCUAGCUUAGUGAGGGCUGGGUACAGCUAGCUUAGUGAGGGCUGGGUAGAGCUAGCUUAGUGAGGGCUGGGUACAGCUAGCUUAGUGAGGGCUGGGUAGAGCUAGCUUAGUGAGGGCUGGGUACAGCUAGCUUAGUGAGGGCUGGGUAGAGCUAGCUUAGUGAGGGCUGGGUGUCGCUGGCUAGACUCAUACGGCUACUGUGUAGGUUUGGUUUUAGAGGGUGUUGCGCUAGGAAGCGCUGCAGAGGGUAUGGGUACGCUAGGUCAGAAAUGGGCUUAUGGGAUUUGUAGUUUAUACACUUUGGGAGUUGUAGUUUAUAAACUUGUGUUUACAGGUGAACAGAAAACCUGCCGGUGAGGGAUUCUGGGUAUUUUAUUAGUGACUGCACAUAGAAAAUAUAGCAACCUUGCUUUUUAUUUAUUCUCUUAAAACUAAUUUUAGAAUGUUAAUGAUCAUUUUAUCUGGCAACGUAAAAACAACCCUUAUUUCCGUUUAUUUUUUAAUUUUUUUUACCCUCCCUCCAUCUUUAGAAAGAAGCAUUAUAAUGUUUUAAUAUUCACUCACCUGGGACUAGUCAGUUAUUGAACAUGUGUUAUUUUCAGGGUGUGUCUGGCACCACUUUGUUUACUAAAAUAAAAAGGGUCCGUUGCUCUCGCCGACUAUCAGCUGGGUUUAACCCUGCAAUCUGAAAACUGACCUGAGUUUUAGUAACAGUUUUGGAUUCUGCUACUUCUCCCCUCAAAACAAAAAAACAGAGGAGGGGGGGGUCGCCAGAGAGCGAGAGACCAAACCCGAACGGCGGCCCGAACGCUCUCUCUUGCUCGCCACUGGACAGAGCUGGCGUGUUUUUUUGGUUUGUCUUUUCUCCCUUGGAAACAGGGUACUUCCGAAUCUCCAUGACAACACGUUGUACGCUAUGAGAGUACAACGACAACUUUUUUCGGGGGGGGUAAUUCGAACUUUUGUGUCAGGUGGUCAGUCCUCUUAGUCUGUCCGUCUGUCUCCCCACCCCACCCCCGGGGACUG
rnacentral:lncRNA from 1 species